AAUACGUUUCAUACACAUGCAUUUCGGUCGUUGCUUUUACCUUACCAUUACCUUACGCAUGCCAGUUAUGUAUCCACUAGCUUGACCUUAGACACACCUACCCGCCCGCGAAGACGGAAGGACUCAGAAAGUCAAUGUAAGCGCAAAUUGGAGUCAGUUGGAGGACUGGAUAUCACCACUAGCCUACUACGGCUGAAACAAGUAGCCUAACCUUAAUGGUAACGAAAAGGCUGCGUGUACAAAACCGCAUGGAGCUUCAGUGGGAUUUUGAUUUCGCAAUGAGAAUUCUGUCUAACCAUUAAUGUGCCGAGUGUGGGCGCAUUCACACCAGACCGCUUGGUCCGGACCCGAGUUCGUUUGCACCGAUGGUUCGGUGGUUUUCGCUCAUGUUAAGCCUUUUGGUGGGCACGCACACACAUGCACACACACACACACACACACACAUAUACAUACUUGCAAGAAAGACACAUGAGAAUCAUACUGUCUGCUAACUUUCCAAUUAAGUUGUGUCAUGAUGUUUUUUUCCCAGAGUGCAAUGUGGCGUUCCAUAAGAAAUGCAUCAUCAUAAUCACCAGCAAAUGUACUGAGGCCAAAAGGGGCACAGUGAGUGACAAGCCGCAUAGUUUUAAGACUCACAACUACAAGAUUCCCACCUAUUGUGCCCACUGUGGAAGCCUUUUGGUGGGUUUAUGUCAACAAGGAUGCAGGUGUGAGCAUCUGACUUAAAUGCCAGUGUUAUGAUGGGUGGCAU